AUUGUUGGAUGAAUUUUGUGAAUAGUGACGCUGAAAUAAGUAUAAUGAUGGUGACAAAGCCGAGGCAAGAGUUGGACUCUUUGUCCUUAAGUCGAAUUUGCCCCGCAACGGUGCCUACGGAUUUCGGCAAUCGACUCCCAAGAUACAACGGCUACACUUGUGUUUGUAGCACUCCAAAACACAAGUACAACGAACCAAUUUAGGCUUAUGUACUCCAAGAAUGAAAUGAAAGAAAAUCAAAAUAAACGAAAUGAUUUUGAUUUUGGAUAGAAGAGAGGAUGAGAAACGUUUUGCAUAUCAAACUGUGAGGAAUAGGACACCCAAAGGGUCCUAUUUAUAGACCAUGAAGGGGUGUGGACGAAAUGGUUGAGACCAAACCAUGCACCAUUUCCA
rnacentral:lncRNA from 1 species